rnacentral:rRNA from 1 species
AUGGAUUUUUUGUUUCUUUACUGGCUUCAUAUAAUUCUGAAAACACAAGUUUUCUUGUAGCCUCUUGCUCAUAUCUCUCAUCAAAGGGUGCUAUUCUAUAAUGUUUCUUUAGCAGAUCCCAUGCUAUACAUCUUUGGAAAAAAUUGA